rnacentral:lncRNA from 1 species
AUUCACAUUUGUUUUCUCCAGCUUGUUAAUUAAACACAGAUACUGUGUCUGUGUGUUUCAGUGCCUGAGUUGUCACAGCACCUAAUUUGCAAGAAAACAGGCUGGAUUCCCUUUUCCCGGCUCUCUGUGUGUGGCGGGUGACUCUGUAACUUCUCACUGGGUUGCACCUCUCCAAGCACCGGCAGUAACUGAAUGUGUAGACGAGGACCCUGCAGUCAACCUUCCUGGGGUUCCGGGAAUCCUCACCUAUGGUGUUCCGGAAGAUCCUGUAGGAGACACAGAAAAUCCAGUUUGUGGAACUACACGGGUCACCUGCCUUUGCCAGAAUGAAGAAACCCUCACUUCUGACUGGUAC